rnacentral:rRNA from 1 species
GACGAACGCUGGCGGCGUUCUUAACACAUGCAAGUCGAACGGAAAGGCCCUGCUUUUGUGGGGUGCUCGAGUGGCGAACGGGUGAGUAACACGUGAGUAACCUGCCCUUGACUUUGGGAUAACUUCAGGAAACUGGGGCUAAUACCGGAUAGGAGCUCCUGCUGCAUGGUGGGGGUUGGAAAGUUUCGGCGGUUGGGGAUGGACUCGCGGCUUAUCAGCUUGUUGGUGGGGUAGCGGCUUACCAAGGCUUUGACGGGUAGCCGGCCUGAGAGGGUGACCGGCCACAUUGGGACUGAGAUACGGCCCAGACUCCUACGGGAGGAAGCAGUGGGGAAUAUUGAACAAUGGGCGGAAGCCUGAUGCAGCAACGCCGCGUGCGGGAUGACGGCCUUCGGGUUGUAAACCGCUUUCGCCUGUGACGAAGCGUGAGUGACGGGAAUGGGUAAAGAAGCACCGGCUAACUACGU